AGUGAACGCUGGCGGUAGGCCUAACACAUGCAAGUCGAACGGCAGCACAGUAAGAGCUUGCUCUUACGGGUGGCGAGUGGCGGACGGGUGAGGAAUACAUCGGAAUCUACUUUUUCGUGGGGGAUAACGUAGGGAAACUUACGCUAAUACCGCAUACGACCUACGGGUGAAAGCAGGGGAUCUUCGGACCUUGCGCGAUUGAAUGAGCCGAUGUCGGAUUAGCUAGUUGGCGGGGUAAAGGCCCACCAAGGCGACGAUCCGUAGCUGGUCUGAGAGGAUGAUCAGGCACCACUGGACUGAGGAAACGGCCAGGAUCCUACGGGAGGGCGGAGGUGGGAAUAAUGGACCAAGGGCGCAAGCCUGAUCCAGCCAUACCGCGUGGGUGAAGAAGGCCUUCGGGUUGUAAAGCCCUUUUGUUGGGAAAGAAAAGCAGCAGGUUAAUACCCCGCUGUUCUGACGGUACCCAAAGAAUAAGCACCGGCGAACUUCGU
rnacentral:rRNA from 1 species